rnacentral:rRNA from 1 species
AUACGGGGGAUCCGAGCGUUAUCCGGAUUUAUUGGGUUUAAAGGGUGCGCAGGCGGCCAUUUAAGUCAGCGGUUAAAUCGUGGGGCUCAACCCCAUUCUGCCGUUGAUACUGGGUGGCUUGAUUGCGGUCGAGGUUGGCGGAAUUCGUUGUGUAGCGGUGAAAUGCAUAGAUAUGAUGAAGAACACCGAUUGCGUAGGCAGCUGACCAGACCGCAAAUGACGCUCAUGCACGAAAGUGCGGGGAUCGAACAGGAUUAGAUACCCUGGUAGUCCGCACAGUAAACGAUGAAUACUUGUUUUCGGCGAUAUAAUGUCGGAGGCAAAGCGAAAGCGAUAAGUAUUCCACCUGGGGAGUACGCCGGCAACGGUGAAACUCAAAUGAAUUGGCGGGG